GCCUCGCCUGUUUACCAAAAACAUCGCCUCUUGCAAACUUGAACGAAUAAGAGGUCCCGCCUGCCCAGUGACAAUACGUUCAACGGCCGCGGUAUUAUGACCGUGCAAAGGUAGCGCAAUCACUUGUCUUUUAAAUGGGGACCCGUAUGAAUGGCAUAACGAGGGC